UACGUAGGGGGCUAGCGUUGUCCGGAAUCAUUGGGCGUAAAGCGCGUGUAGGCGGUCCGGUAAGUCCGCUGUGAAAGUCGGGGGCUCAACCCUCGGAUGCCGGUGGAUACUGUCGGGCUUGAGUACGGAAGAGGCGAGUGGAAUUCCUGGUGUAGCGGUGAAAUGCGCAGAUAUCAGGAGGAACACCAAUGGCGAAGGCAGGUCUCUGGGCCACUACUGACGCUGAGGAGCGAAAGCAUGGGGAGCGAACAGG
rnacentral:rRNA from 1 species